rnacentral:misc_RNA from 1 species
GUCAUAUUUUAUCUAAAUAUAUUAAGUGGUUCAAGCCUUUUCCUAAGUUAAUGGCUCAAGAUGGCAAGAACUUCACUAUGGGCAAAUUAAUAAUACGAGUAUAAGGCCAUGGUGGCUAGUCCUUUAAAUCACAUUCCUAAAUUCACUAGAAGAUACUUUCUUUAAUUUGGAUUCUCUUUCACAGAAGACCCCUAACUAAAAGCUUAAAAUUAUGAUGGUGUUGUAUCUUUGUAAAAGAGUAAAAA